GCGCGUAGCUGAGGGCGAUCUGGGCCUCGUUGCCCGUGUAGGAGAAGUAGGGGUAGACGUUGCAGAGCAGCGGGGCCCCCGUGCUCUGCAGGUACUGCGCGAUGGGCCCCAUGUAACCCUGCGAGAAGCUGCCCUGCGACGGCGGGAAGCCCUGGGUGACGCCGCUCUCCACCGCCGUGGACACCUUGAUGCCUCCGAGCCCGGCGUUGGCGAGCGCGGAGUUGACGUUCUGCAUGGCGGGGAGGAUGCUGUUGGUGUCCCCGCCGGAGACCUCGUUGCCGACGGCGAUGUACUUGAAGUUGACCCCCGGGAACGCCUGCAAGUUCCUCUGCACCCACGUCGCCGCCGCGCUCGGGUCGGAGGCCAGCGAGGAGAGGUCCGAGUUGGGCACGUCCAUGAUCACGCCGAUGUUGCUGCCGCUCAGCGCGUUCAGCGCGUUGGUGUCCGGGAAGUAGAUGCGCAUGAGGUUGAUGCCGUUGGACUGGUAGAGCUGCACCACGUCGCUCGCCGGCGGCAGGUUGUCGCCGUUCACGCCGUAGCACACGCCGAUGGAUUUGACUCCUGUACGUACGUACAUAAGUGUCAAUAAUGCAUGCAUAUCAGCAUAUCGCGGUGAUCAGCAUUGCACCUAGCUAGAGUAAUGUAUGAUGCGUGAUGCAUGAAAAUCUGAUCUGACCUGUAGGAGUGGCUGGAAAUGCUCGGAGCAGCAAUGCCAGUGCAAGCAUGGAAGCUACAAGAAGCAAUGCCAGUGCAAGCAUGGAAGCGACAACCUGCUUCGACAUCUUGGAAGGAUCAGGAUCAGGAUCAGGAUCAGUUGCGCUACUCCUAUAUGUUUGCAGCAGCUACAGACAGGUAACUGUAACCGAUGCUACACUGGACUGCACUCCACUGCAUGCAAUUCACCGAGGCAUCGAGGCAUAUUUAUAUAGCUAGCUAGCUAGGCAGGGGCACGGCGGAGGCAAAUUCUGAGAGAUGUGCCGUCUCUCUGAUCGCCCAGUUUUAGCGGCACCAAUGCAAUACCUCGUUCCGUUAACAGCUUACACCGGAAGCCGCCGAGACGUACUGAUCUUGCCGCGGCAGCGACAGAUGAAGACGUAGACCUGACCUCGUCGCGAGCAAGCAUGUUGGGUGUUGGCUUUCUCAAAUCUGCGGUUGGACUUCGACGUCAUCGAGCACUCAGGAGCUACCGCAACGCGGGCUCGGCGUGGCGAUGCUCGAGCGGUUCUGUUGCAGGGGCGCGCGACCACCUGCUCGAGCUGUUCGCUGUGGUCCAGGAUGGUGAAUUUGUGAUAGAGAUGUCAACUCUGCUAAUUAAUGGGUUUUCUUCUUGAAAUAAUCUCUAGUAAAACUCCAAAUCAACCCCCAAAUGCAUAGACAUCAAUCUUUCUUUGUUGACCUUCCUGUAUGAAAAAUAUUCAGAACCCAAGUACCUCGACAGUAGCAGUUUUUCAUAUCUGAUGUAACUGUGAGUUAAUAUACUAGCUAACUGCUAACCAAAGUCUUGAGAUGAUACAGAGUCACAGAUCCAAAAGGUUCCAGUGAUGUCGGUACAUGUUAGCAAAGGAAGUUGAAACUGACACUUGCUUUGCUAACCCAAAAUCACACGACUGAAUGAAAUUUCCACUAGGUAACAAUGUCACAAAGGAUCAACAUCGGCAAAAGUGAUGUUACAAAUGGUUUCCCAAUCGCAUUACUGCUUCCGUGUCAAGCUGAAUAAGAACUUGUGAUCACUCUGUAGUUGACAUGUCGUAUCACCUGUGAAUUUGUGAUCACUGCCCUACGAAUAUAGGCCUUGUUUAGUUCACCCUGAAAACCAAAAAGUUUUCAAGAUUUCCCGUCACAUCGAAUCUUCUAGCACAUGCAUGAAACAUUAAAUAUAGACGAAAACAAAAACUAAUUACACAGUUUAGUUGUAAAUCAUGAAACGAAUCUUUUGAUCCUAGUUAGUCCAUAAUUGGAUAAUAUUUGUCACAAUCAAACGAAAGUGCUAUAGUACCGAAAACUUUUCACUCUUCGGAACUAAACAAGGCAAUAAAUUAUAUUCCUUUACCCAAUGCAGACUUUGAACACCAGAUAAUCCAUUUCAACGGGUGGAGGUGGAUGAUGCAGACUGGGCCUGGUGGCGGCAAAUUCACUAGGGCCAGUAGCGCGCUGGGUGGCCCUGUGUCCUGGCAGCGUCAUCCCCGUUCACGGCGGACAGCUAGAGCAGCGGGGCGCCCUCGCGAUAUGGAGCCGCUCGAGCUCUGCCAUGUCGUCGAGACCGUGCUGUGGCGUCUUCUUGUGUCGACAUCGCAGCUGAUGCUGGCAUGAGCUAGCGCCCUAUGAAUGUCAUGAUCUGCCGGCCUCGUUUUCGCACACAUCUUUAGGUGGCUUCUGACGAAAGAAAACGCUUUGCCGUUCACGACUAACCUGAAAUUAAUCACUUUAUAGAGAGAUUGAGAGGAAAACACUGUUUAGAAUUAAACUGCCAAAUUAAGGAGUCUUCUUCGUCAAACAAACUGUAGAGGCUAACUAAAUUACUUCUAACUAGAGGUUCAUCAACCAGUUAUCAACACACCUUCUGACUUUCCACCCCCAAAGAUUAGCCACCGUUUCCGACUUUCCAUGGACCAGAAUAUAAAUUUCCCAAAAAUGUAUAGCUCAACUAGAGUUUCCCAACCAGUUAUCCUUUAAAAACUUAAUCUUCUUCUUGUUACCUAUUUCCUGUCUGAACUCCAUUUUCGCAGCAGAGGCUGCCCACAGCAAGCCUUUAAAAAAUGGUGAAGUCAUGCACUCGUGCUAGCAGUAUUGUAUUUAUAGUCAACAACAAUACAACAUGGCUACUUAACUUACUCCACAAGGCUAACAGACACUUCUUUAAAUCUCUCAAAUUUGGUACCAAGCCGCCCAAAAUCUUUGAACAUACUACUAACACUCUCCCAAUUUGCAAGAUGAUAUGUUCUAAUUUUGAACCGAAUUUUAAUUGAUUAUAAUGAGAUAUUACUCCCAUUUAAUAAUGAUCGAUGCACAUAAUGUCGAGACGAAAUUAGGAGAAAGCAUAUAACUACAUGGGCAAAGAAGAAAUAAAUCAAGAAUGUACUUCUUGUUAUUCAUUUUUAUGUAAUAAUCGAAGCACUUGCCUUACAUGGAUGCACUUUGCAUUUUACAGGCAGUUUAUUCAAUGUUUUGGUAUGUAGUAUAUAAGGUAUAUAUGUGUAUCUGUAUGGUAUCUCGUAUAGUUAAAUUUUAUGUCUUGUUCGAUCGUGUAUAUAUGGACCGGGCCGCGCGAGCGUCCCACUUGGUUGGUUUUUAGGAGAAAUUGAUGGAGUACGCCGGCGAUUUGUCCGGGUUGAAGAGUCCGAAGUGCCUCUCCGUCUCGGCUCCCGUCUUCUUGUCCUCGUUGAACAUGGCGAAGAUGUAGGUCUCGAUGGCGCCGGGGCGCUUGGGCGUGCCCUUCCCGACAUGGUUGAUGAGGUUCUGGUUGUAGGUCUGCGCGUUCCCCGGCGUGGCGGCGUCGCCGCCGGCGGACGGCCAGCCGCUCUCGGACACGACGACGCCGACGUUCCCGGCGCCGGCGUUCUCGAGCGCGGACACGAAGGUGUCGACGAGCGCGUCGAAGAGGUUCUGGUACGCGUUGCUGCCGUCCUGCACGACGGUCCCCGGCGACGUGAAGAGCGCGUAGCUGAGGGCGAUCUGGGCCUCGUUGCCCGUGUAGGAGAAGUAGGGGUAGACGUUGCAGAGCAGCGGGGCCCCCGUGCUCUGCAGGUACUGCGCGAUGGGCGCCAUGUAGCUCUGCGAGAAGCUGCCCUGCGACGGCGGGUACCCCUGCGUGACGCCGCUCUGCACCGCCGUGGACACCUUGAUCUUUCCCAGCCCGGCGUUGGACAGCGCCGAGUUGACGUUCUUCAUGGCGGGGAGGAUGUUGUUGGUGUCCCCGCCGGAGACCUCGUUGCCGACGGCGAUGUACUUGAAGUUGACCCCCGGGAACGCCUGCACGUUGCUCUUCACCCACGUCGCCGCCGCGCUCGGGUCGGAGGCCAGCGAGGAGAGGUCCGUGUUGGGCACGUCCAUGAUCACCCCGAUGUUGCUGCCGCUCAGCGCGUUGAGCGCGUUGGUGUCCGCGAAGUAGAUGCGCAUCAGGUUGAUGCCGUUGGACUGGUACAGUUUCACCACGUCGCUCGCCGACGGCAG
rnacentral:lncRNA from 1 species